GCCUUGGUAGCUCAGUGGAUAGAGCACGGCUCUCCUAAAGCCGGUGUCGGAGGUUCGAUUCCUCUCCAGGGCACAA
rnacentral:tRNA from 1 species